rnacentral:lncRNA from 1 species
GGUAGAUUAGGGCCAGCAGGGCACGUGGCUUGGGACCGUGUGGAGAGUGCGGGCGCUGGACAGCAGCUCCGGCCCCUCACCGACGCGCAGCCCGCGCCUGGGCCGACCUGUUGACUGAAAAUCAGCCGGCGCUUGGCCAGAUGCGUCGAUGGAGGCCCGCAGCCCAGCGACGACGUGGUAGUCAUGGCUGAAGCGGCGCCUGCCCCGCCAAAUGCAGAGAAGAGCUCAUACCUCUAUUCCAUAGAAAUCACACUGUGGACCGUGGUGCCUGCUGUUCAGGCCUUGGAGAAGAAAAGUGGAUUCUUGCCUGGCCCGCUUGCUGACUCUGGAGGGAUGCUCAGGGACAGCAGAGAAGAAGCUGGCUGACUGUGAGAAGACAGCUGUGGAGUUCAGCAGCCAGCUGGAGGGCAAGUUGGCCGUGCUGGGGACCCUGCCUCAGGAGUCUAGGCUGCUGCAUGAAGAACCUCAUGGGCAACUGGAACUUCUGGGUCCAGCGGCUUCCCCCUGGCAACAAGGGGGAGGUCCCCAAGAGUGGGCCAAGCUGGAGGACUGGCAGAAGAGGCUCGACAAGCAUGUGAUGGGGGCAGCUAUGAGAUGCUCGUUUCCCUGGGUAUUUCUCUGAGUCCAGAGCAGGCCCCAAGUCCAGCUAGCCCUGCCCAGGAGGAACUGAAUCAAAGGCAGACACCUGAGCAGCAGCAAGAGGAAGCAACCAUGAUUCCACCUGAGCCAGGCACUGGGAUUCCAGCAAGCACCAGCCCUUUAUCACUUAAACAGGAGGAAGAAUCUGCAGAGGGAGGAGAGUUGCCACCCUCCCCUUCCACAGAUAGCCUGCUUUCUGUGGAGCCAGGAUCUUGCCAUCUGUCUCAGAAUGAACUCAUGGACCUAGAUGAGGGAGGGGAGUGACUUGCCUGUAUGUCACCCAUCCCAAACAAAUCCACCAAGGUGUGUGCUGCAGGACUCUAUGCAGGGUCCCUGGCCCCUGGCUUUUGCAGCUUGCUUCCUUCUCUGGUGUUCUUAGCUCAGCUUCCAGGAAUGAGGCAUAAGACAGCAAGCAAAGUUGAACAAUACAUGAGACACUCCUGCCCCGUGGUGUCUAUGACUAGGACCCCUGGCCUGAUCUAAUGGCACUCACAAAGACUGGGGAAGGGAGGGGAGGCCUGAACCUGGAGUAAGGCCUGGAUCGAAUGGCAGGGGAAGCCAUGAGGUCCCCUUGGAACCAGCAAUGAUUCCUAUGACCAUCAAGACAGAAGCCCCAUCUGAGGAUCAACCUGAGCAGAACCUUCUGCAGUCCUGCAGCCAGUCCGUAUUUAGAGUCCACAGAAGGACCAGGAUUAAGACCAGGGGCCACAGAUGGCAUCACACGGAUUGGGGAACCUCAGGCAGCAGAGGAUAUGGGAGAGCCACCCUGUAUCCUUCCUCAGCCACAGAAGCAGGCAUUCCUGUGCCCUGACUGUGGGCAGAGCUUCUGCUUGAAGAUUAAUCUGACAAUCCAUUAGCAGACCCAUGUAGAAAAGAAACACAAGGAGGCUUGGAGUGGCUUGCCUAUUAGGUCAGGGAAAAGCCACUCCACACUGGAACCAGAGAAAGUGGUGGUGCCAGGCCCUGUCAUCCACUGGCCACCUGAGGAGCCCACAAGCCACCGGUCUCCAACAAGCCAUGCCUUCAUGAGACAAAGGCCAGCAACUACAGUUUACCACUGUAGUGAAUGUCUUCACUCCUUUCAGCAACAGAAGAGCCUGGUAUUACACCAGCAUCAGCACACAGGCAAGAGGCAGAGCUGGCCUGCCUGUCCCUACUGUGGCAAGGCCUCCCGCCGGCCCUCAGACCUCUUUUGUCACCAGUGUAUCCAUACUGGUGAGCGUUCCUAUCAGUGCCCCCAGUGUGGCAAGGAGCCACCACCUGGCUGUCCACAUGCAGACUCAUUCCUGAGGCUAAACAAUCCUGCAUUUCCUCUUGCUUUCUGUCCUCCAGGGAAGUCCAGCCCUGCAAGGGCCCAGCUCUGAACAGGACAGGACCUGCACUGUCUCAGGGCCUUUCCCUUGUGCCUGCCAAGUGGUGGAAGUUCCUUCACUUUCCAGCUGAGUUGGUACUUUAGGGGCCCUUCAAAAGCACAAGCUCCAGACCAGGAAUUUGAGGUGAUAGUGUCAUGCCUCAAAGUCAUGAGAGCGGGUGCUUCAUGUGCCUCUUUGUCACAGCACCUUGGGGACAGCCUUGUGGAGCUUCUGGAGCUGGGUGAUGGAUUCCAAUUCUGAUAGUUUGCUCUCUUGUUUGGCACUCAGACACCAGAGCACAUGAAGGCUCCCAGGUGCCUUCAUCCCUGGCUGUGCUAUUGCUAAAGUCCUGCAGACUCUGUAGCCACUCAGAAGUCCUGCACAGACGAGGCAGAGGGUGACACUGCCGUCAUUCCCAGGGUAGGGGUAUGACUGGCAAGACUGUGGCAUGCAGCCAUGGUUCUGGACGUUACUUGCCUGCACACCCAACCGUUGUUUAGGCCCUGCAAGCAAGACAGCAGUUGUCAGUAAGCGCUCAGACUGAACGUGGACAGUAUAGCUGCCCCAAACUUAAUCCUCCGCUGCAAGCACUCAUGUUGCUGUUCUGGGGGUUCCUAGGCCUCUCUUCUAAUGCUUUAGAUGUUCUCUGGAAAACAAGUAUUCAUAUUUGAAGCACAAAUCCAAGUGCUGGGGUGGGGGAAGAGGCGCUGUAUAAUCCUGGCUCGCCUUGGGCUUGCAGUGAAUUUUUUUCCCCUACCUCUAUCUACCUACUAGGAUUUCCUUGCUUGUGCCAUUAUGCACAACUGGGCUUACUGCAUUUAACCUGAAAUUCAAUAGGACAGGUUAAAGAGUAUUUUGAGUUAAGAAUGAACAAAGGCUGCAUGGUUGCCUGAGCUCAAAGACGUUGGAUCCCAGAUUCUGAUGACUUAUUUUGUAAAACAAAGAUAUGGUUGGGUUGGUUACAAGGCCCUAAGAACCAUGGAGGUGGAAAUAUUAACUUAAUCGGUGCUCUAUAAAUACACUGGAAAAUGUAGCUGCGUGUUUGUGGCCUAGUUUGUUCUGGGGAGUCUCAACAUGUGACCCUAGUGGUUGGCGUGGCUCUACAGCUCAAAGGUGAACGGAGCUCAACACCUAGUGCUCACACCUGCGGGGCUGAGACGAAACGCUAGCGAACGCUAUGCAGCUUGUGCUCCCAGCUAGCCAAUAGAGUCUGGCUUCUCUACCGUCAGGGGCGGAACCUCCAGGGCUAGCCAAUGGGGAGCCGCCUUGUGGAGGGUGUGGCCUGCGUUUCUGCCGCGGGAGCAGCGAGGACGUCUAGGUCUCAAACUGCCAACUGCGUCCAAGACGACCAUCCUGAUUCUGUAUCGUGAGGCCAGGAAGGGCCGCCUGUAGGGGACACAGCGGCUACAACAAGACGAAGCAGAAUCGCGCGCAGCCAUGACUGAGGCGGCCGCUGCACCGGUAAGGGUGGCCCUUACCGAUCAUGUGGGGGAUGUGAAGCGGUUCCUGAAUUCGCCGGGAGGACAUCUUACCACCUCCUAAAAUUGGGUAGAGCUCAGCCAGGUAGUCAGGGAGGAGGACUAGGAGGUCUGUUGCCACAUGAUUAAGUCCUUGUCUCCUUUGCCACGGGUUUGAUCAUUUGUAAUAUACGGCCGUUGAGCUUCACCAGGAAAUAUCUGGGCCCGGUGCACCGGCUGCGGUCGUUUUUACUCCACGACUCCUUUUUUCCAGGACCUCUUUGCUCCAUCUCGCAAGUAUUAGCCAUCUCCGAUCAAAUCCCGAGCUAAGGCCCCCUCCAGUUAGCCCUCUUGGUCCUGGGACCUAGAAUCUAGCUCCUGCCUAGGAGGGAGGGUUCCACGGCCUUUCGGGCCUGAAUUCGAUUCUAUUAAGAGUAGAUACAUACUUCCUCGCUUGUUGUUUUUUGAUGAACACCGGGAAGACUUUCCUACUGCAACUAGUUAGGGAAUCAGUGUUAUAGAAAACGUUGGGUAGGCGUGUUUUAGGUUCAGGUGAGUGAACUACUGAGAUGAGAUUUACAGUCCCUGAAGGUAGGAGGCAUCUCCUGCUAGCAAUAGCUUUGCAGUGACUUCAAAGACAUUUCUUGGUGUUAGAUUUGUGGCAAAGGAUCCCAGAGAGACGAAGAUAUUUGACCUUUAUGUGUGAAGACUGCCUCCUCCCAACCACAUUUUGUUGUAUGGGUCAGUGGUCACAGACCUCAGGAUGGAGUGAGGAAGAGAGAAGUUUCUAGUGACAAGUAUCUUACUGUGUGGGACACUUUGCUGUGUCUUUUUUAUGGAAGAUAUCUUGGGGGAAGUUUAAUGUCACAAAAUUGUAUUCGUUACAGUCUUUGGUUUAGAACAUAUAACACAUUCUGACCAAUAGUCAGGAACCUUCAUGUUUAUUGGUAAUACAAUAUAUAAUAAAUGUC